UAGCAGUUUAGACCAGUAAUUCUCAACUUG
rnacentral:piRNA from 1 species